GCUACUCUCAUGCGGUAGUAUUUUCUCCAGCAGCAAGGUGGCUAUCAUAAGCUCCCGUUUAGCAUCGUGGGCGUCUUGCUCGAAGGCUAACCCACGGCUAAUUAGCUAGCUAACGAGCUAAUCUAACAAGAUACCUGUAGUGGCUCAACUUCAGUGACCGACUCUCAUAAUGCACUGCGGAAAAAUUGAGGAGGUAAAAGAGUUUCUGCGUGCCAGAGGGGUCCAGGAGGAAACCAUAUUCCAAAUGGCAGAACAAAAGCAUGAAUAAUUUGAGACGGCGUGGAGCCCAGAGAGCUGCAGAAACUUACAGGAGAAACCUCAGUGUGCUGGAAGUCCGAGGACUGAGGUAGAGAGGUCUUUCUAUGGGAGGAGGACAGCACCAGGCCUGAGGAAGGAAGACCUGCACCAGCUGUACAGAACCUGAGCCCAUACUGGACAUACAGUAGUUGUUACCACCUGCACAGGCCAAGUCUGUCUCUCUAUUUGACAAAAGGUUUUACUUAUACAUUUAAUAGGUUAACAUAUAGUUUACUUUUUGUCUAUCUUGUCCUUUUUUUCAAAACCUUUUUGAUAGUUCAUGUGUUAUAACUUCUGGUUCAAUACAUUUCAUUUGUAUCUGUACUUCUUUUGUCUUUUAUUGUUACUGAAAAUGUUAGAUUACACAUUCAAAUCUGACUGCAGAUUUGUGUGUGACAUUACAAAUUCCACGGUAAAAGGCACAAGUAUUGUAAAGAUUAUAUAGUGAGGCAAAUUUAAAUAAUAAUUUCUUCGAUUGUACAGUACAUUUUGAAAAAGCAAAAACAUAGGUGCAUUUGAUCAGCUGACCACACUUUCUCUGAUGUGCAACUUCAAACAAAUGAUGGUCCUGUUAGGCCCAAAAACUAUUCGUUGUGCAGAUCUUUGUUUUCACAAUAAAAGUGUAGUUUCUCAGUUCAUUUUAUUGGCCUUUAUUGGUCUUUUCAUUUUCCUCUUGGAUGUUCUUCUGGACCCUUGGAGACCCACUGAAAAUG